UGGGCAGCAGCUGUGUAUUUCAGCUACAAGAGUGAAGUUCAGCAUCGAUUUAAACUUUCUUCUGGAGCAGUAGGACAUGGCAGACAGAGGCCAUGUUGGAGCAGAGAGAGAAGCAGAGGACACAGAUGAGCUUCUUUACACAGAUCUCAAUGACAACAGCAGUGUGUCUGGACUGGACUCUCCUCUGCCCAAACUGGAUCACUGUGACCUUCUAUUAGAUGCUAUUGAUGCUCAGCUUGGUCAGCUGCAGGUCCAGCCCCAGGAACGUAAGGUGUUUUCCAGAGAGCGCCACUGCAGUGAUGCAGCACCUCUCAGCUGGAGUCAAUCUCUGAGCAAAGACACAGGGCUCGGGAGCACAACUCAAACAAACGACACUCCCAUGUCUUGUCUUGAGUUGAUACACACUGCGACAAUGGAGCAAACAUCAGAGAGAAGCACAGGCAGCCGGGGAGGUCCUGUCACUCACAAGGGCACCAACCAGAAAUUAGACAGAAGACCAAGAGACAAAGAGGAAAUAGAUUCUCAGCGGGAGCAGGUUAUCUGGAGACUCGAGAGGCUGCUUGGAGACACCUGUAACGAGGGAAGGAUGCCAGGAGAAACUCACCCUCCUUCAGACAGCAUCUGCACUGAAGACUUUGUCAGAUGCUUCAGAGACGAGAUGUUGGAAUUGGCAUUGCCAGCGAAUAAUAUGCAGCCACUACACAAAGAGGACGUGACUGAGAGGACAGAGAUAUCUGACUGCAACACUUGCCAGAGUGCACAAAAUGGACCCAGUAUUCCUAAUGUGGACAGAGGGGGAUCAGCAACAACUAGGAAAUUCAAUAAAGACACAGGGAAUGCUCACUAUUGUCAAAGACAGGAACUGGAGAAAUGUCUCUAUGACAGCUACGGAGUAAAUACAUCAUGUAGCGAGAGAGCAGGAGAGAGAUACAGCACACCAAAGAAGUCUGAUGACGACAUUAGGAUCUCUCACAGAACAGAGGUCGUAACAGAACAUGAAACUCUGCAACAGACCAACUCUGCAGCUCCUAAGGCCAGGUGCUUGGCAGGAGUACCUGUGCGGAGUUUUGACACCGUGUCCAUUGACAGUGACCUCGACUCAGUCUGCACAGAGCAGGUCAGGCAGUAUAUUCACAGGCGGCCAGGAUGGCGCUCUCUCAUUCAGUCUGUCACAGGCAUGGAUGACGACUGUACAAACCACAGUGACUAUGACACACCCACACAGGAAGACAGUGAACCUCAGUCUACAACAGCCCAGAUAUCCUGUUAUGGAAAUGUGCACAACAGAAGUCCCUCUGUCCGUAAAGCACAGCGUCAUAAGAAAGAAACCAAAUGGCGACUUGUGCAUUCUUCGGGUAACAAUGACAAGGACACAGAUAAGGAAAUGAAUCUGUCGAACAGGAGAUGCCGGCCUGAGAGGACGUCAGAGAAGAUGCAGUCUGACUGGGCCAAGAUGAAAGAGCGUCUCUCUGCACUCAGACAAAAAUGUGAGAAGGAGGAGCAGACACUACAGAAAAAGAAGACUCAGUUGAAAGAUGUAGAGCUCUCCCUCUCUGAACUUCAACAGAGAAGAAAACAUGCCUUGCAGGAGUUAGAGCAACUGACUGUAGAAACAGCAAAGAUGGAGAAGGAGAGGACGACUCUGGACGUUAUUAGUGACGAGCUGCCCGAGCUGCAGAAGCAGAGCGAGUUCUGUAUUCUUGAGGUAAGAGACGUGAAAAGGGAGCUCACAACCUCGUGUCAAUGUAAACUGACUGUAAAGGAUGGAGCCUUCAUGCAGAGGCCCAGCGUCAUCAUGUCAGUGCUGGAGAGGGAGGAGAUGGAGAGGCAGCUGGAUAACGCCAAAACAGAGCUGUUUGCUGAACAGCGACGUGCAAGAGAAAAGCUAGAGUCCAUGCAGGAAAAGUUGGAGGAAACUCGUGAGGAGCUCCAGAGGGUCACAGAGGCAGAGAGCUCACUGAGGAACAGGUGUGAUCAUCUGGAGGAGAAACAGAGGCAGAAAAAGGAUCAGAUGGAGGCAGCAGAGUUUCAAGUGCACGAGCUGCAGCAUGAACUGGGAGAAUGCAAGAUCAGAGUGGGCACUCAGGAGAAGAUGUUGGCCCAGAAGGAGCUGCAGCUGCUCGAUUUACAUGAGCAGCGUGAGGCCUUACAAGCAGAGAGAGAUGGACUGAAGAGGGAGCUGCAACACCUGAAAACCCAGCACUGCAAUGCACAGAAAGAAGCCCACGAGCAAGCCCGAAGAAUGACGGAGGUUGCAUUGAAACAGCAAAAGAAAGAGUUGGCUUUGGCUCAUGAGCAGCAAAUCCAAAAGGUUCAUAAGCAGACUGAGGAGGAGAAAGCACACGCUUUGAGAGAACAAGCUCUGUCUCUCACACGGCACAUUGAGUCCUUGAAAAGUUCCAUUCAGCUAAAAGUAGAGGAGGCAAAUAAGCUGAAGGACUCUCUGGAGCAGCAGAAGGAGGAGGCAAAGAACCGUGAAGAGGAGCUGCAUCUAGCAGCCACGAAGCAGGUGCACAAAGCAGUAGAGGAGGAGAGGAGGAAGUGGGAGGCAGAGAAGAUGGAAGCAGUGCAGGCACACUGUGGAAUACUUGAGGAGCAGAAUAGAAAGAGCCUGGAGAGCAUGAGGAGUGAGAUGCAGCGAGAGAAGAGUAAAGCACUGGCUUUUCAACAUAAAGCGGUGGAAUUAAAAACUAGAGUACAGGAGUUGGAGAGUGAAAGCUGUGUGCAGCAGAGAGAGCAGGAGUCUUUGCUGGCUGUUAUCUGCAAAUCACUAAAAGAGGAGCACCAGGCUGAGCUGGAGAAGUUGCGGAGACAGAUGGCACAGGAGAGUCAGAGAGCGGUGCUGCGGCUCCAACAGGCUGUUCAGCUGGCAGAGAAGGAAGCUGACAGACUCCAGGUGAUGCUAGACGAAAGAGAGAGCAGCCAUAACCAAAUUACAGCUGAGCUGGAACAAAAGCUCCGGCACUGGGCCCAGGAGCUGGGAGCAGAGUGCCAGCAACUACACCUCUUAGUGGAGCAGAGUGGAGCCAAACAAAGUUCUGUGCAGCUUCCUCACAGUCCUACAGCAGCUGAGGCUCUAACAAACCUGAGAACACUAAAAGAGCAGCUGAAGCACGUGACUAACCAUCUACAGCAGGAGCUCGACUCACAGAAACAAACCUCUGAGCAGCUGAGAAAGGACAAGGAGCGAGAACUGAGCAUCCAGAGGCAACAGCUGAGGAUGGACAGAGACCAGGCCUUGGAUUCUCUGAAGGAGCGUCUCAUUCAGGAGCACAUUGAGGAGCUGAGCAGUCUGAACUGGCCUCAUAUGUGUGAUGGAGGAGCUGAGGGAGGAGUGGCAGCAUCGCUUCGCAAACAGCUGAAGGCCAAAGACCUGGAGCUGAGGCAGGUUCAGAGGAGCAUGGCUCAGUGGAAGGAACAGACCGCCACUCGUCUGGCAUGCAAGUUUGAAGAAGAGUUGACAGCUGAACUGGAAAGGUGCAAGACAAAGUUAUUGAGGGGCAGAAAACCAUCAAAGUCUCGAGAGGAGAGGCAUAAAAAGCCUGAGAGGCCUGAAGCAGAGAUGACACUUAGUGUAAAGGAAGCUCAGACUUUAGUCUGCUCUCCCUCCCUCCAUGUUGUGGACUCUGCUGCCUCCCACAGCCCCUCAGACGUGGCUUCAUUUAAGCUUCUACGUUACCUUCAGAGCAGAGUCAAGCAGCUCCAUGUUGAAAACCAGGCGUACAUGUGUAGCCCAUCGCCUUCAAAUACAGUCUCUGUAGAUCUGUCAGGAUCAUAUCUUACAACAGCUCACAAAAGGGCGUAUCUCUGACAACCAAUCACAUCUGUUAAAAGCAAGCAUCACACCUAGCAACAGAGUCAACCACACCUCCCCACCAAGAUCACUCAAGGUCAAGACAUUGCUGGGAUUCAGAGUCACUCAUCACUGAGGACAGUGUCGAGUUAACAACAUGAAGCCCUACUGUGUGUGUGUGUUACAUACAGCAGUGAUGUAAUGCACCUCAAGCUAUUUUUGCGGCCACAGGAAUGAAUCAUUUACUGUUACAUGUGCUUAUGAUUGCAGAUUAACAAGCAGGUCACAGUGACAAAUGACACAACAGAAGAUUUGGUCAUUAAGUUUACAUUCCUCUGUGUCAAGGCAGUGAAACUUUAUGGCGUCAGGUUACAGUGAACUCUGAAUGAGUGAUGAACCGACAUUUCACAGAACAUCAUGUGAGUUAUGUCAGAGAAUCUCAUAAAGCUGACGGGUCUUUGUGGGAAUCCCGUGUAUAAUCAUAAAUGUUACAAGAUGUUUAACUGCACAAUAAAGAUAUUCUGCAGAUCUCUGGCGAGUUCAAACUGAAUUAUGUCAUUAGCAUUUAAUGUAAUAUCUUAAUCAACUGAGAAAUGUCCUGAUUUUAAUGUAAAAUAAUUCACUGAGGAUUGAUGCCAGAUUUUUUGAAAGAUGGCUCCCCUUUAAUCACAUGUGCUGUCACAAAGGCAGUCUGUUUGGUCUUUCCUGUGGUAUCAAAAAUAUUUUAGGGGGAAUACAGGAACAGCGCCGAUUCAUUUAACAUCUGCUUCAUAUACGAGGUCAGCACUGAGACACUCAGGAAGGAGCUUCUACCCUCAGGCUUCAAAGAUCCUAAAUAAAGACUGUGCUAAUGUUUUGGCUGAUCAGUGUAUAUGUAUGUAUUGUCACUUGCGUUGUUCCUCAGGGUUUAAUCCUGGGACCCCUUCUCUUCCUAAUAUAAGCCCUGUUUCCACCAAACACUUUCGAUAUGGUACCACUGAAACCAAAAGUAACCUUUAAGACAGGGUUCCUAGACCCCAGUGUUUCCGUCACAAACAGUACUCUUAAAUGUGGGUGGGUUGUUGUCACUCACUGCUUCAUCCAUCACUCACUGUAUUUCGUCUUCAGUCCAUCAGUCUACACCUCAUUUAUCGUCCACUGAACAAGGUUGCACGCCGACAUUUUCAGAACAAAAUAAACAGGCUGCAGUGAGAGUCUUUCACCAUGGGAUAUUUAAAAAUAGUGGGUUUGUGCAUUUAGUCCUUUAGCUCAAGUUUAGUUUAGUGUGGCUUACAGGAACGAUGCUCCGCAACGCUUUUUUAUUCUCCGAGUGAGAAUUAGAAUAUAUGCUGUUCACAUAAUCUGGUCGAAAUUAGUAAAAGCGUAGGUCAUCCAAGAGAGACAAUACAAACUAAUGGAGUGGUCAAAGGUGUCACAUUGAAAUUUAAGGUAUGCUGAUGGAUUCACAUCGUCACCUCAUACAUUGAGCAACAUGACAAGUAAACAUUCCACCUUAAAAAUUGGAGACAGUCGGCCCAGUGAAUUAUUUUUCUCAGACCACAGCUGCUCAAGAGACAGCAAAACAUCCUUUCAUUUUAUAAUUACAGUUAACUAAUAUAUGUAACUCUCCAUGUUAUGAACAGCAGUUACAUAAACCUCAGCCCUGAGCAGUGUCUGUUUGCUAUUGACCAAUCAACGGACUGCAGUGUUCACAGCUCCACCUUUUAGUACCAGAUCUGUGUGCUAGGUACCCCAACAGAGAGGGGACCAAAAAUGGGGAUGGUACUAAACGGUUCCAU